rnacentral:tRNA from 1 species
GCCCGCUUGAUGGAAUUGGUAGACAUACGAGACUUAAAAUCUCGGGACCGUUCAGGUCGUGCCGGUUCGAGUCCGGCAGCGGGCACCA